rnacentral:rRNA from 1 species
UACGUAGGGAGCAAGCGUUGUCCGGAAUCAUUUGGCGUAAAGCGCGCGUAGGUGGCCCUGUAAGUCCGUUGUGAAAGUCAAAGGCUCAACCUUUGAAAGCCGAUGGAUACUGCAGGGCUAGAGUACGGAAGAGGCGAGUGGAAUUCCUGGUGUAGCGGUGGAAUGCGCAGAUAUCAGGAGGAACACCAAUAGCGAAGGCAGCUCGCUGGGACGUUACUGACACUGAGGCGCGAAAGCGUGGGGAGCGAACAGG